UACAGAGGUCCCGAGCGUUGUUCGGAUUCAUUGGGCGUAAAGGGUCCGUAGGCGGUCGGUUAAGUCGGAUGUGAAAUCUCACAGCCUAACUGUGAGCGGUCAUUCGAAACUAAUCGGCUAGAGGGCUGGAGAGGAGACUGGAAUUGUCGGUGUAGCGGUGAAAUGCGUAGAUAUCAAGAGGAACACCUGCGGCGAAGGCGGGUUGCUGGGCCGACACUGACGCUGAGGCGCGAAAGCUAGGGGAGCGAACGGG
rnacentral:rRNA from 1 species